UACGGGGGGAGCAAGCGUCGUUCGGAUUUACUGGGCGUAAAGGGCGCGUAGGCGGCCACUGCAAGUCAGUUGUGAAAUCUCCGGGCUUAACCCGGAAAGGUCAACUGAUACUGCAGGGCUAGAGUGCAGAAGGGGCAACUGGAAUUCUCGGUGUAGCGGUGAAAUGCGUAGAUAUCGCUAGGAACGCCGACGGUGAAAACAGCUCGCUGGGGACUCGCUGACGCUGAGACACGAAAGCCAGGGGAGCGAACGGG
rnacentral:rRNA from 1 species